rnacentral:rRNA from 1 species
AUGGCGGAUGAGCAUCCAGUUCUUGUCCUUUUUUUUUUUGCAACUGGGCAUCCUGUUUUCAUUAAUUGCUUAACCGAAACACAAAGUUCGCCAGAGACUUGCAAGCAAGACAAGGAUGAGGGAAAUAGAGGGAAGCGAGUUGAUGCAUUACAAGGAAACCCGCCACGAGUGCCCAAUAUCGAAACACUCGUUACGGGACAAAAACCAGGCAACAGAAAGUACUAUAACAAAACGCCCAAUCGCGAAAAGUUAAAUCAGCAGCAGAUGACAUUAUCCAAGUCUUUUUUUGUGCGGGUGACAUUAUCCAAGUCUUGA